rnacentral:rRNA from 1 species
CGCUGGCGGUGUGCCUCAUACAUGCAAGUCGAACGAUAAGGUUCCUUCGGGAAUACAUAAGUGGCGGACGGGUGAGUACAACAUAGGAAAUCUGCCCUAAACAGGGGGACAACAGAGGGAAACUCCUGCUAAUACCCCAUAUGAGAUUAGUUGAAAUACUAAUCUUGAAAGCUCCGGCGGUUUAGGAUGAGCCUGUGCCUGAUUAGCUAGUUGGUGGUGUAAUGGACUACCAAGGCGACGAUCAGUAGCUGGUUUGAGAGGAUGAUCAGCCACAAUGGGACUGAGACACGGCCCAUACUCCUACGGGAGGCAGCAGUAGGGAAUUUUGCGCAAUGGGGGGAAAAACCCCUGACGCAGCAACACCGCGUGAAUGUUAAGCCCUUCGGGGUGUAAAGUUCUGUCAGUAGGGAAGAACAAAUGACUGUACCUACAAAGGAAGCACCGGCUAACUCCGUGCCAGCCGCGGC